CCUACGGGAGGCAGCAGUAGGGAAUAUUGCUCAAUGGGGGAAACCCUGAAGCAGCAACGCCGCGUGGAGGAUGAAGGUUUUCGAUUGGAAACUUCCUUUGGUAGAGGAGAUAAUGACGGUAUCUUACCAAUAAGCUCCGGCUAACCCCGGGCCCGCCGCCGCGGUAAUACGGAGGGUGGCAGCGUUAAUCGGAAUCACUUGGCGGAAAGAGCGCGGAGGCGGGAUAGCAAGUCAGAUGUGAAAUCCUAUGGCUUAACCAUAGAACUGCAUUUGAAACUGUUAUUCUAGAGUAUGGGAGAGGUAGGUGGAAUUCUUGGUGUAGGGGUAAAAUCCGUAGAGAUCAAGAGGAAUACUCAUUGCGAAGGCGACCUGCUAGAACAUAACUGACGCUGAUGCGCGAAAGCGUGGGGAGCAAACAGGAUUAGAUACCCCUGUAGUC
rnacentral:rRNA from 1 species